CAUAAGGUUGGGCUAGGUUGAUGAAGCCACCCUGGUCCGCAGCCACGGGCGGCGACAGCUGCGGUUCCAUGGCUCGCACCCCGUGA
rnacentral:tRNA from 1 species